rnacentral:rRNA from 1 species
AGUGAACGCUGGCGGCAGGCCUAAUACAUGCAAGUCGAACGGCAGCACAGUGGAGCUUGCUCCAUGGGUGGCGAGUGGCGGACGGGUGAGGAAUACAUGGGAAUCUGCCCAGUCGUGGGGGAUAACGUAGGGAAACUUACGCUAAUACCGCAUGCGCCCUUCGGGGGAAAGCCGGGGACCUUCGGGCCUGGCGCGAUUGGAUGAGCCUAUGUUCGAUUAGCUAGUUGGCGGGGUAAAGGCCCACCAAGGCGACGAUCGAUAGCUGGUCUGAGAGGAUGAUCAGCCACACUGGGACUGAGACACGGCCCAGACUCCUACGGGAGGCAGCAGUAGGGAAUAUUGGACAAUGGGCGCAAGCCUGAUCCAGCCAUGCCGCGUGAGUGAAGAAGGCCCUCGGGUUGUAAAGCUCUUUUGUCCGGAAAGAAAAGCGUUGGGUUAAUACCCCGGCGUCCUGACGGUACCGGAAGAAUAAGCACCGGCUAACUUCGUGCCAGCCGCCGCGGUAAAAC